rnacentral:rRNA from 1 species
AUUGAACGCUGGCGGCAAGCCUUACACAUGCAAGUCGAACGGCAGCACGGGUGCUUGCACCUGGUGGCGAGUGGCGAACGGGUGAGUAAUACAUCGGAACGUACCUUAUCGUGGGGGAUAACGCAGCGAAAGUUGCGCUAAUACCGCAUACGCCCUGAGGGGGAAAGCGGGGGACCGUAAGGCCUCGCGCGAUUAGAGCGGCCGAUGUCUGAUUAGCUUGUUGGUGAGGUAAAAGCUCACCAAGGCGAUGAUCAGUAGCUGGUCUGAGAGGACGAUCAGCCACACUGGGACUGAGACACGGCCCAGACUCCUACGGGAGGCAGCAGUGGGGAAUUUUGGACAAUGGGGGCAACCCUGAUCCAGCAAUGCCGCGUGAGUGAAGAAGGCCUUCGGGUUGUAAAGCUCUUUUGUCAGGGAAGAAACAGCAGCUCUAACACAGUCCGCGAAUGACGGUACCUGAAGAAUAAGCACCGGCUAACUACGUGCCAGCCGCCGCGGUAA